UAACGCGAAGAACCUUACCAUCCUUUGACAUGGCGUGUUACCCUGAGAGAUCUGGGGUCCCCUUCGGGGGCGCGCACACAGGUGCUGCAUGGCUGUCGUCAGCUCGUGUCGUGAGAUGUUGGGUUAAGUCCCGCAACGAGCGCAACCCACGUCCUUAGUUGCCAUCAUUCAGUUGGGCACUCUAGGGAGACUGCCGGUGAUAAGCCGCGAGGAAGGUGUGGAUGACGUCAAGUCCUCAUGGCCCUUACGGGAUGGGCUACACACGUGCUACAAUGGCGGUGACAGUGGGAGGCGAAGGAGCGAUCUGGAGCAAAUCCCCAAAAGCCGUCUCAGUUCGGAUUGCACUCUGCAACUCGAGUGCAUGAAGGCGGAAUCGCUAGUAAUCGUGGAUCAGCAUGCCACGGUGAAUACGUUCCCGGGUCUUGUACACACCGA
rnacentral:rRNA from 1 species